rnacentral:rRNA from 1 species
UACGUAGGGGGCAAGCGUUGUCCGGAUUUAUUGGGCGUAAAGGGUUCGUAGGCGGUCGACUCAGUCAGACGUGAAAUCCCUCGGCUUAACCGGGGAACUGCGUCUGAUACUGGUUGGCUUGAGUGCAGGAGAGGAAUGCGGAAUUCCAGGUGUAGCGGUGAAAUGCGUAGAUAUCUGGAGGAACACCGGUGGCGAAGGCGGCAUUCUGGACUGUAACUGACGCUGAGGAACGAAAGCCAGGGGAGCAAACGGG